rnacentral:lncRNA from 1 species
GGGCAACAAGAGCGAAAGUCCAUCUCAAAAAAAAAAAAAAAAAGUAAGCAUCGCCUUGAAAGACAUGAUACCAACUGCUGAAACAUUCUCUGAGUUCAUGGUUAAUAAGAAAAAGACAGCAGAACACCAGUGCACUUGGUUUCUGGAGAGCACCACUGUCAGGAGGCCGUGUUGACAAGGAUGCUGGAGGAGCUCAGCCGCAAGCACCAAGCCGACUCCCGGACGAGAAGAAGCCACAGCUUCAAACCUGAUGGGUGGUGACGAGUACAUUCCCUUUGCUGGCACAGUGAGGGAGAAAGACCAGAAUUUUGUGUUUAGGUUAGAGGAGACCCACACUUAGGGAGCUAACGAUGGCAGUGACUGUUGACCAAGAGCGUUCUACCACGAUGCUCUUCCAAUAGCCCUGAAGACAGGUCUUCUUAUUCACCCCUUUCUAUAGAGGAGACGCCAAGGCUUAGAAGUGGAAAUCCCUUUCCAAAGUUAUCCCAGUGGUAAAAAACAGUAUGGAGGUUUGAACCCAGGCCUUUCUAGCUGCAGAGUCCUGGUGCCUGCCCCACACCCUACGGUGUCACUGUCUCCCCGGAGACCCUGAAGGGCAAGAGUAGCCGCAGAGCAGAGUGGACAGCCUCCGGUUCUAGUGCCCGAUGUGUGCACAUUGAUACAUUGAAGUCCUGUCACUGCGCAGAUGUGCGAGGGAUGUAUGUCCGGAGAAACACAUGUGCGCUCUGAGCAGUAACAAACCCAGACUGUCAAAAUGAAGAACUGAGGACACAUCGUUGCUGGGUCCAUCUAAUUCUGAAUCAACUGUGAAUAUAGAAGAAAUAAUUUGCUCAAAGAGAAGGUGUUGACUUGUCCAAGACGCAAUAUGCUGUCUCUUCCUCUAGAAAUCAGAAAUAUUCAAACCCGGAGUUCUACUGAAAUACCCUAAAUUGGCAGUGCUUUUUUGUGGUAAUUUAAUCAGUAGCUGAAGCUGAAAUUCCCAGCUUUUCACAAAACACAGUUUGCAAUCUGAGAUCCAACACCGUAAAAAGUGUGGCUGGUUCUUCACCCCCAUAAAAUAUCAAUGUUUUCCAGCUAACCAGUCACAUCGGCUCAAACCCUACCUUGAUCCGGUGAUGGGCCCCUGCCCACCCCAAAAUUUCCCGCAUGUUCAUGAAAGACGACUGACUCCAGAACGGAACAUGACGCACGUGCCGAGACAUUAGCAUUGAGUAAGCACGCACUGUGGGCCAGGCCCGGUCUCCGGACAGCUGCGAGCCCUCCAGACGCCACGGUCCUACAGGUAAGUUCCACCUCGCCCCUGCUUUGCAGAGGAUGGAAGGUGAGGCAGAAAAGCCGAGUCACUUCCCAAGAUCACAGGGCAGAGCCUUGUCACUCCCUGUGUCACUGCCUUCCUGGGUCACGACGAGUAACUUCCUGAACAGAAGGGCCUGACUUGCUGCAUUUGUCCCAGCUUAGGGAUCAUGUUGGCUGCAAAUGGGUGUCUAAGACAAUCCUUUAAAUGUGAACAUGGAGAAAAGGAGAAUUGCUAAACACGUUGCUGGAAAACAUCGCCCAUAUAAACGUCUGUCUAAAAGAGCAACUUAGCCAGAGCAAAAUCGUCUGCUAAAUCAAAGGCGACUGGCACAACUAAAUGGUGUAGAAGCAAAUAUUUCAUUUUCAGCUUAAAGAAUAUCACUGCAAAAAAUAUGUUCAUUCUGGGUUAUCAAUGCGUUUUCUAAAUGAAGAUCAUUCUGAACACAUACUGAUAAAGUUAAAUAUAUGCCGUUUCAAUCCCAACUGACACAAACACUCCAAGGAGUCAAGGACUGCAAACCAAUUAUGUUUGCAAAAUCCUGGCUCAAAUGUCCUCCCUCAAACACAAAUGUUAAUGUCUUACUCAGUGUACUAAGAAAUAUGUCCUCUCUGUUGAGUCUUUAAAAUCAAGUGGCUUAUGAAAUAAACCUCCCAUCCAAUAAGAGCUCUUGGCCUCAUCAACUCAUAUUGAAAAUAUGCACAAGGGUUCUGUUCUGACAGUCAUCUCGCUGUCGAAGGGUCGAAUCAGGUGAUUCUCAGCGUCUGUUACCAGAGACCAGGUGCUUCCACUCAAGAUGACUUUCCGGUUUGCUCAAGCAAGAACCACUUAAUGAGCAAAUGAGCAAACCCUCUGGGCUGCUCCAGCUUAGGUGAGAGUGCACAUGUGGGGUGACAUAGCUGUGUGCAGAGGAACAGGUGUGCGUGCAGGUGUGAGUGCAGGUGCAGGUGUGUGUAUAGAUGCAGGUGUGUGUAGGUAUGUGUGCAGGUGUGUGCAGAGGUACAGGUGUGCGUGCAGGUGUGAGUGCAGGUGCAGGUGUGUGUACACAGGGGAAAGUGUGUGUAUAGAUGCAGGUGUGUGUAGGUAUGUGUGCAGGUGUGUGCAGAGGUACAGGUGUGCGUGCAGGUGUGAGUGCAGGUGCGGGUGUGUGUACACAGAGGAAAGUGUGUAUAGAUGCAGUGUGUGUGCAGAGGUACAGGUGUGCGUACAGGUGUGCAUGCAGGUGUGAGUGCAGGUGCAGGUGUACACAGGGGAAAGUGUGUAUAGAUGCAGGUGUGUGUAGGUAUGUGUGCAGGUGUGUGCACAGGUACAGGUGUGUGUGCAGGUGUGAGUGCAUAGGGGCAAGUAUGUAUAUAGCUCUAGGUGUGUGUGCACAGGGAUGUGUAUGUAUAGGUGCAGGUGUGUGCAGGUGUGUGCAGAAGUUUGUGUGCAGAUGUGUGUGCAAGUGUAGUUGUGUGCUCACUGGGGCAAAUUUGUGUAUAGGUGGAGGUGCGUGUAGGUGCAUGUGCAGGUGUGUGUGCCGAUGCAGGUGUGUGUUCACAG